ensembl:lncRNA
ACUUGUGCUCUGUAAAGUGGAGAUGUAUCUUCACAGCAACAAGCUAGGUGCACGGUCAGUGUUUAAGAAAGACAAGCCCUUGCACUUUGCCUGGAGUAGGUGCCUGGUGAAGAGUAUAUGAAGCUUAAAGACACCUAUUGGAAGAGCAGAACACCAUCCACUACCCAGAGCAGUACUGUGGCUGGAGGCUUGUCUCACCCUGAUUUGAGGAAGUGCAGUUGCUCAGCUAUACCUCCCAGUCCCCUUAGUGCUGGCUGGCAAAGGAGCGGCUUCUGUGCCUCGUACAGAUACAGCUCACCAUUAACUUAUGAAGAAACUGAUGUGCAGUUGUGAGAUCUGUAUCUGCUUACAGCAGGUAUUAAUGACCACAUCCAGAUCACACUUCACAGGAUUAGAAUGGAUGCCCCUUGCUGCCACCACCAGCAACUAUUUUUUCUGUUCUAGUAUUCCUUCUUCUCUAUAAUACUUGUCAAGCGAGAUAUUAAGUUUGCUACUCAGCCAAGAAACCACCUCCACAUAUGCUGACCAAGCAGCUGUCUAGCUUAGGGGGAUGAAGCAGUUUUUGUUUGUUUCCUUCAGUUCUGAGGUUUACUGUCCAGGGACUGGCAGCAGCCAGCAUUUGUCCCACUGGUAUAGAUCAUGCUUCAAAACAGGCUUUGGGAGGAUCCCCGGUCUCUGACUGAAAGGGUAGAGUAAGACUCUGACAAAAUAGAAGUAAAGGGAGAAGGGAAAUGAGCCAGCUUGGGGAUUCUCCAGAGCAGCUGCCUCACCACUGGAUUAUUAGCACAAAUCCCUCGAGCAUCUACUCAGGUCAGGAGGGCUUUUUUUUGCUUCCAAAUACUGAGAAAGAGCCUAUGAAGCAAAGAAACAAAAGCCUGCUGCUCAGAUUAUUACAAGCAGUUAAAUGAAUUAUGACCGCUUCUGCUGGCAAACCUCUUUCCCACAGACCAGCAUGGUGGCAGUGGUGAUGUCUGCCUCUGAAGGAAUGAUCAAUCCGCAAACAAGGGCUAAUUUUCUCUGCUGCAGGUGGAGGAUGUUAAAACUAUGCUGCUGAUAAUAGGGUUUGAGUGCAACAGGAGAGGCAAGGUGUCAAUAGCAUUACAAUAACAGUGAGGCACUGCAGCAAGUAAGGCUUUUUGUCUAACAAAGUGUAGUUCCCUACAAGAAGUUGGAGGCUCUGAAAUAAGCAUGGUAUGAGAUUGCCUCUGCUGUCAAUUUAUUAACUCUGUGUAGCUUGCUGGAGACCUUAAGUGUUCCUUGCUAAACAGAAUUUACACUUUAAUGUAUAUUACUGAAAUAUAUAACUCACUUUUAGACAGCAUUUUUCAUCUUGAAAGGACCCUAAGCUCUUUGCUGAUUGUGCAUAAUGGAAUCGCUCAGCCACCAAUGACAUAUAGUCAUCUCUGGGGCAUAAUGAAGCAAGAAAACUUGCAGAGAGAGAAAAAAAUAUCUUCUGUUGGAAGUGCAUGGGAAUUAAGGGAGCUAGAAGGUAAUUACCCAAAACAGAAGAUGUUUGCACACACAGCCGCUUUAACUGUUUGGGAAAAUUGUGCUGUUUCUGUGGCACAAAAGGAGCAGAGAGCAGCUCUUAAGCUAAUGGUGUUGGGAACUGGUAGCCCCUGGGAGAUGCUUCCUUCUACCCCUCGAUUUGGCAGACAGCAUCUUUUUAAACAGGAGAAAAACAGUGGCAAAUGCACUACUGUAGUCCUUAUCUGGUAGGAGGUUUCACCUUGGUAAUCCUCCAGACCAAAGCCUACAGCCCCUCUGGGGUUUGUCGACACGAGUGUGCAGCAGUCAGCCAAAAUGCCUGUCAAUAGGAAGGAGGAAGAGAGCAAAACCUUUCCUCAGUACAGGCAGGUAGGUUUCUGCAGCAAGGCAAUGACCCCAUCCAGAGAAUUCCCUGCUGCCUAUGGAGAUCGAUGUGACUGCAUUUGGCCUCCUCAUGCAGGCCAAAAGUCAGAGAAAAUGGCCUCUGGAGGAUCCCUGAGGCCUCAGCUCAGGACUGAGGCGCAUUAUGCAGCAGAGUGCUUUGCCAUCUGCUGUGCUAAAUUCAGCCCCUUAAAAUGAGUUUGGUAAUGCAAGAGGUGACCUUAAAUGUGCAAGGUCAAGACUGAACAGGGUUGCCAUCUAUGAGAGAGAUUCUGAACCUUGGAAAUGACACUCAAGGUGGACCUUGUUACACAUACGUGUAUCCUUGACAUAAGGUAUAGUUUACAAUGAUAAUUAGAUUGUGUUGGGCAUAAUCGAUGCUCCUCUGCAGCUCUCCUAUUCCUACAGCUCAAAAAUCACCAGCCCCACUGCAUUACACAUUUCAGAAAAACUGAGAUGGCAGAGAGCUGGGACAGGGCUUUGUCCUCUUGUGUUUAAAGUACAUUGUCCUCAGGUUUGAGAGACAGACAAUGUCAGUCUCAUAUUAAUCUUUGGCAGUAGAAUUUGCAGAUUUUGAGGAAAAUAGAAGCAGUCUAAAAGAACAGGAUUUCUAUUAUCUUGAGUCUUCGCAGUUGCGACAGAAUCAAAUGUCAUCGAAUCUUUUGUUUUUAAUGCUAAUGUGAUAUUUUUUUCCUGUCAGUUGUACUCAUUUUACAACUAAACUUUGCCCGCUUCCUUUACAUUGUUUGAUAUGUCAAAAGAAACACAUACUGCUUCUUUCUGAAGAAAUCAAAAUGUUUUAUUUUUGCUUUGACAGUUUAAAUUUCCUGACAUUUGCAUUACGAACUGUAUUAACAUCCUCCUCUGUGUUUUAAUUGAAAUGUUUAAGCAAUCUGCAAAACAAAUAAAUAAAUCAAAACAUU